rnacentral:misc_RNA from 1 species
GUAUUAUGAUUAAAGGCCUUGCGGCGCAAAACACGUUCGGCAUUGCUAACAGCGUAUAAUAAUUUUAAGAGAAUGCAAGGAAAUCACACACACAAGUGGCAAUCAACUCGAAAAUCCCUCAAAAAUGUGCACAGGUGUUUGGAAGAUGAUUGUUAGGGCGAGCACAUGCAUCCAUAAAUCGGAUACCAGCAUCAAACCCCAUCACAACUCAUUAAUGAUCCUUCCGCAGGUUCACCUACGGAAA